AGCGUACACGGUGGAUGCCCUGGCAGUCAGAGGCGAUGAAGGACGUGCUAAUCUGCGAUAAGCGUCGGUGAGGUGAUAUGAACCGUUAUAACCGGCGAUUUCCGAAUGGGGAAACCCAGUGUGUUUCGACACACUAUCAUUAACUGAAUCCAUAGGUUAAUGAGGCGAACCGGGGGAACUGAAACAUCUAAGUACCCCGAGGAAAAGAAAUCAACCGAGAUUCCCCCAGUAGCGGCGAGCGAACGGGGAGGAGCCCAGAGCCUGAAUCAGUGUGUGUGUUAGUGGAAGCGUCUGGAAAGGCGUGCGAUACAGGGUGACAGCCCCGUACACAAAAAUGCACAUAUUGUGAGCUCGAUGAGUAGGGCGGGACACGUGGUAUCCUGUCUGAAUAUGGGGGGACCAUCCUCCAAGGCUAAAUACUCCUGACUGACCGAUAGUGAACCAGUACCGUGAGGGAAAGGCGAAAAGAACCCCGGCGAGGGGAGUGAAAAAGAACCUGAAACCGUGUACGUACAAGCAGUGGGAGCCUCUUAAUGGGGUGACUGCGUACCUUUUGUAUAAUGGGUCAGCGACUUAUAUUCUGUAGCAAGGUUAACCGAAUAGGGGAGCCGAAGGGAAACCGAGUCUUAACUGGGCGUUAAGUUGCAGGGUAUAGACCCGAAACCCGGUGAUCUAGCCAUGGGCAGGUUGAAGGUUGGGUAACACUAACUGGAGGACCGAACCGACUAAUGUUGAAAAAUUAGCGGAUGACUUGUGGCUGGGGGUGAAAGGCCAAUCAAACCGGGAGAUAGCUGGUUCUCCCCGAAAGCUAUUUAGGUAGCGCCUCGUGAAUUCAUCUCCGGGGGUAGAGCACUGUUUCGGCAAGGGGGUCAUCCCGACUUACCAACCCGAUGCAAACUGCGAAUACCGGAGAAUGUUAUCACGGGAGACACACGGCGGGUGCUAACGUCCGUCGUGAAGAGGGAAACAACCCAGACCGCCAGCUAAGGUCCCAAAGUCAUGGUUAAGUGGGAAACGAUGUGGGAAGGCCCAGACAGCCAGGAUGUUGGCUUAGAAGCAGCCAUCAUUUAAAGAAAGCGUAAUAGCUCACUGGUCGAGUCGGCCUGCGCGGAAGAUGUAACGGGGCUAAACCAUGCACCGAAGCUGCGGCAGCGACACUAUGUGUUGUUGGGUAGGGGAGCGUUCUGUAAGCCUGUGAAGGUGGCCUGUGAGGGUUGCUGGAGGUAUCAGAAGUGCGAAUGCUGACAUAAGUAACGAUAAAGCGGGUGAAAAGCCCGCUCGCCGGAAGACCAAGGGUUCCUGUCCAACGUUAAUCGGGGCAGGGUGAGUCGACCCCUAAGGCGAGGCCGAAAGGCGUAGUCGAUGGGAAACAGGUUAAUAUUCCUGUACUUGGUGUUACUGCGAAGGGGGGACGGAGAAGGCUAUGUUGGCCGGGCGACGGUUGUCCCGGUUUAAGCGUGUAGGCUGGUUUUCCAGGCAAAUCCGGAAAACCAAGGCUGAGGCGUGAUGACGAGGCACUACGGUGCUGAAGCGACAAAUGCCCUGCUUCCAGGAAAAGCCUCUAAGCAUCAGGUAACAUCAAAUCGUACCCCAAACCGACACAGGUGGUCAGGUAGAGAAUACCAAGGCGCUUGAGAGAACUCGGGUGAAGGAACUAGGCAAAAUGGUGCCGUAACUUCGGGAGAAGGCACGCUGAUAUGUAGGUGAAGCGACUUGCUCGUGGAGCUGAAAUCAGUCGAAGAUACCAGCUGGCUGCAACUGUUUAUUAAAAACACAGCACUGUGCAAACACGAAAGUGGACGUAUACGGUGUGACGCCUGCCCGGUGCCGGAAGGUUAAUUGAUGGGGUUAGCGGUAACGCGAAGCUCUUGAUCGAAGCCCCGGUAAACGGCGGCCGUAACUAUAACGGUCCUAAGGUAGCGAAAUUCCUUGUCGGGUAAGUUCCGACCUGCACGAAUGGCGUAAUGAUGGCCAGGCUGUCUCCACCCGAGACUCAGUGAAAUUGAACUCGCUGUGAAGAUGCAGUGUACCCGCGGCAAGACGGAAAGACCCCGUGAACCUUUACUAUAGCUUGACACUGAACAUUGAGCCUUGAUGUGUAGGAUAGGUGGGAGGCUUUGAAGUGUGGACGCCAGUCUGCAUGGAGCCGACCUUGAAAUACCACCCUUUAAUGAUU
rnacentral:rRNA from 1 species